rnacentral:rRNA from 1 species
CAGUAGCCGCGGUAAUACGUAGGUGGCAAGCGUUAUCCGGAAUUAUUGGGCGUAAAGGGCUCGUAGGCGGAUCGAUCAGUCAGGGGUGAAAUCCCGCAGCUCAACUGCGGAACUGCCUUUGAUACUGUCGGUCUAGAGUAUGGAAGAGGUGAGUGGAAUUCCGAGUGUAGAGGUGAAAUUCGUAGAUAUUCGGAGGAACACCAGUGGCGAAGGCGGCUCACUGGUCCCUUACUGACGCUGAGGUGCGAAAGCGUGCGGAGCAAACAGGAUUAGAUACCCCAGUAGUCCCUGUCUAUUAUAC